GGAGCAGAGCUCUGUGGUAGAGUGUGUGCUUAGUGUGCGUAAGGUCCUGGGUUCAAUCCCCAGUUGCUCCA
rnacentral:tRNA from 1 species